GAUGAACGCUGGCGGCGUGCCUAAUACAUGCAAGUCGAGCGAACAGACGAGGAGCUUGCUCCUCUGACGUUAGCGGCGGACGGGUGAGUAACACGUGGAUAACCUACCUAUAAGACUGGGAUAACUUCGGGAAACCGGAGCUAAUACCGGAUAAUAUAUUGAACCGCAUGGUUCAAUAGUGAAAGACGGUUUUGCUGUCACUUAUAGAUGGAUCCGCGCCGCAUUAGCUAGUUGGUAAGGUAACGGAUUACCAAGGCAACGAUGCGUAGCCGACCUGAGCGGGGGGGCGGACACACCAGAACUGAGACGCGGUCCAGACUCCUACGGGAGGCAGCAGUAGGGAAUCUUCCGCAAUGGGCGAAAGCCUGACGGAGCAACGCCGCGUGAGUGAUGAAGGUCUUCGGAUCGUAAAACUCUGUUAUUAGGGAAGAACAAAUGUGUAAGUAACUAUGCACGUCUUGACGGUACCUAAUCAGAAAGCCACGGCUAACUACGUG
rnacentral:rRNA from 1 species